CAGCCCUGAGGAGAAGGACUUGGUGGUGCUGGUCAAUGAGAAAAUGAACAUGAGCUGGCAGUGUGCGCUCACAGUCCAGAAAGCCAACCAUAUCCUGGGCUGCAUCAAAAGAAGCGUGACCAGCAGGUCGAAGGAGGUGAUCCUGCCCCUCUACUCUGCUCUUGUGAGACCUCAUUUGGAGUAUUGUGUGCAGUUCUGUAUUGCAGGCAGUUCUGGUGUCCUCAACAUAAAAAGGACAUGGAACUGUUGGAACAAGUGCAGAGGAGGGCCACGAGGAUGUUCAGGGGACUGGAGCACUUCCCAUAUGAAGACAGGCUGAGAAAGUUGGGGUUGUUCAGCCUGGAGAAAAGAAGGCUGCGUGGAGACCUCAUAGCAGCCUUCCAGUAUCUGAAGGGGGCCUAAAGGGAUGCUGGUGAGGGACUCUUGAUCAGGGACUGUAGUGACAGGACAAGGGUAACGGGUUAAAACUUAAACAGGGGAAGUUUAGAUUGGAUAUAAGGAAGAAGUUCUUUACUGUGAGGGUGGUGAGGCACUGGAAUGGGUUGCCCAAGGAAGUUGUGAAUGCUCCAUCCCUGGUGGUGCUCAAGGCCAGGUUGGACAAAUCCUUGGGUGAGAUGGUUUAGUGUGAGGUGUCCCUGCCCAUGGCAGGGGGUUGGAACUAGAUGAUCUUAAGGUCCUUUCCAACCCUAACUCUUCUAUAAUUUUAUGAUGA